AGAGUUUGAUCCUGGCUCAGAAUCAACGCUGGCGGCGCGCCUAACACAUGCAAGUCGAGCGAGAAAGCAGGAGCAAUCUUGUGAGUAAAGUGGCGUACGGGUGAGUAACACGUGGAUUAUCUACCCUCUUGUGGGGGAUAACCCUGGGAAACCGGGGCUAAUACCGCAUAAGCUCGAGAGAGGAAAGCAGCAAUGCGCAGGAGGAGGAGUCCGCGGCCGAUUAGCUAGUUGGUAGGGUAAAAGCCUACCAAGGCUACGAUCGGUAGCCGGCCUGAGAGGGCACACGGCCACACUGGCACUGAAACACGGGCCAGACUCCUACGGGAGGCAGCAGUGGGGAAUCUUGCACAAUGGGGGCAACCCUGAUGCAGCGACGCCGCGUGAGCGAUGAAGCCCUUCGGGGUGUAAAGCUCUUUCGGCAGGGAAGAUUAUGACGGUACCUGCAGAAGCAGCUGCGGCUAACUACGUGCCAGCAGCCGCGGUAAUACGUAGGCAGCAAGCGUUGUUCGGAGUUACUGGGCGUAAAGGGUGUGUAGGCGGUUCUCUAAGUCUGGUGUGAAAUCUCCCGGCUCAACUGGGAGGGUGCGCCGAAAACUGGAGGACUAGAGUGCGGGAUGGGAGAGUGGAAUUCCUGGUGUAGCGGUGAAAUGCGUAGAUAUCAGGAGGAACACCUGUGGUGUAGACGGCUCUCUGGACCGCAACUGACGCUGAGACACGAAAGCGUGGGUAGCAAACAGGAUUAGAUACCCCGGUAGUCC
rnacentral:rRNA from 1 species